ensembl:lncRNA
GGAAAAGUUACGUUUUGGAAUGAGAGUACCCACGUGCAGAGCUUUUUAGGGUAAUGCUGGGGGAUAUCUCACCCUAGUGGGGCACGGCACCAGGAUGUGGAGCUGGCAAAGAGUUAAUUUCAUUAAGGGGUUAGGAACACAAGGGUAAAAUCCCCAUCUACCAUUUCUGUGGUGUUGAAGCCAACCCUCAUCCUGCAGCCGAGCACUGUGCGGGGUGGCACGGUUCUGCUCAGGGCUCCGCUGCCUCUUCCUGAUGGAUUAUUCCAUAGCAAAGGGCAGCAAUGCAACCCACGUCCCAUCGCCACCACGGUGGGCUUGGGGCUGAAAGAGAGGAGAAUGCAUUCACGUCUGAAAAGGAGCAUCUCACUAUCAAAUUCAAUGCGGAUUGUGCAAGCGCCUUUGCAAAUAAAUGCUCCUGCCCUUCUCAAACAUCACUGCAUUGUGAGUAGCUGCCUCUAUAUCCAUACAAUGGGGGAAUGAAGAGCACGGAGAUAAACCAGCGCGGCAAACUUUGCGCACUCAACAAGUCCUCUCCGCAGACAAUUAGGGCCAGAAGAUAAAUAUUGACACAUUAGGUUAUUUUCCUCAAUUUGUUUUUCUGUUGAUUGUCUGAGCGAUCCGACGGGGGCAGAAUUCCACUUUUCUGCUAUCUUGGAUUCUUGGCUAAUAGAAACAAAUAAUGUGAGAGCCUCUGUCCACAAUGGGUGAGGAGCAUCUAUUGUCGGAAAGCGCUAAUCGGAUUAAAUUGGCUCCUCACUCUAUUGCUAGCGGGCGAACUCAUUCCAAAAUUUUUCACAUCUCAAGGGGCUGCGUCAUUGUGGCUUCUUUUUCUUUUUCUUUCUUCUUUUUUUUUUUUUCCCUUCUUUAACUAUUUAAAUGUGACAAGCAGAAAGGAGCGAGCCAGGCGGCGAACAAAGAGCGGAGCCGUGGCCGGGAUGCGGGGUGCACGGACGCCCCGAACGCCUUAAACCCAAAUGUUCGUGCAGCAGAAGAGGGGAGGAGGACGUCUUGCUUCCCAUUUGGGGCUGGUUUCAGGUGGUUGGCCAUUAGCGUGUUAAUCCCUGCAGCAUUGGCCCCUCAGAAGGCGUAGGCGCCUUUCUGCAGGCACCGAAGCACGGCCCUAAAUAAUGUCACCGGUGCCUGGCCGGGGCCCUGCGGCCAGGGGUGCACUCCUGCCCACAGUCUGAUAAUUUCCAAAGCUAUUGGCAACCUGGGAAUUUUCCUGCCUUAUCGCCGGGGCUCAGCUAACUUCACUACCACUAAUCAGAGCUGGAAUCAUUCAUUCAAGGAUUGCAUGAUCAUGUUUUUCUUUAGCGGUGACAGCUGCCUGAGCCAUAUUAGCAAUGCAGAUGAGUCAGCCUAAUAGGUUAAUGCAGAACACGCGAAAAUUAGGUUUAAUCCCCAGUGAAAUAAUCUAACAUUUUCACAUUUCUUGAUGUUGGGAUAGAGACAUUGGUGGCGACUCAAUUAGGUGUAAUGUAGAUCAAAGCAAAUUUACCUUCUGGCUGAACCUUCCCAAUAGUUUAGAUAGAAGAAUAUAAGGGUUCUUUGCUAAUUGGUGAAUGGCUGUAGGGAAAAUUAUAUUAAAAGCAUGCCCACGGCAAGAAUUGCCUUUCGGAUUCAGACCAAAUAAUUGCUGUGUUUUGCAAACACCCAAGCACGUCAUUUUGCAAGAAGCAAACGUGUGGUGCGCGGCACCUCCGGCUCGCAGCCGUUUCAACACAUUGCUUACAAAUGGAGACAUUGGGAUUAUAUUUUUGCUUUAAACUCUGUUCAUUUUGAACGUCCUGUACCGAAAUAUCCCCACCGAGGUUUGAAAGGGCUCGUGUUAUAAAAGAAGCAUCAAGGGAAAGAAACAAAAAGCAGCCCGUGUCUAUGUAAUGUUGUCAUUCUUGGGGAAUAACAUAUCAAAUGGCAGUCUCUUUCAGUCAUAAAGGAAAGGAAACCAAAAAUUACAUGCCCUCAGUUGCCAAAUUAUUUUUUGCCUUGACAUCUUAAUUCUUAAUCCUUGUGUGUGGUCAAAUCAGUCUACUAUAGACAACCAAUCAAGCAAUUAUUCCUAAAUUAUAUUUGCCCAACUCACAUUGAUUGGUUAUUCUUUUCUUAUUGGGUAAGCUCAUUAAUUCUGAGCAGCUUGCUUAUUAUGCUUUCCACAUCAUUUUCUUUCUGAGCCUAUCUACUCACACCAGCCUGCUGAUGUUUCAAGAUGCCAUACAGAAAAAAAAGGCCCAGUGAUCUAUUGCAUUGUCUCUUCCAGCAAUUACAAUUCACAUUGCUGAUUAACUUUGAUGUGAAAACUAAUGAGAUAAGGCAAGUUAUCAAGGCGGACCUGAUCGUCAUCUCAUUUAUAGAGCAUUUGCCAUCGGUGAAUGACAAAAACUAAUGAAGAUGUAUCUGACAGCAGGCUGAGCUGAGACAGAAUUUCGUGUCUCAUCAGCAAGUGCUCUGCUUCCAACUCAUCAGUCUAUCUGAAACAUGUUGAAAUUAGCUUAAUAAUGAAAACACUUCAUCUAAAUAGACAAAUGUUUACAUUAAAAUCGCUCCAUGAUAAAUAGACGUUACAGAUUUUAUGCCUUCUUGAGUCUAAACAAUGCGGCACGAAACACGCUCCAACAUUCACUAAAUCACUCCUAUAAAACCUCCGUGGAUGCUGCUCUACCUGAAACUUCCCCACUUUAUGGCUUAAAAAUAUUUCCGGGCUGCGGUUUGCUCUGUUGGAAGCGUACGGUUGGGGCUGUAAUUAAUUAACGGCCGCGUGGUGGUGGCUGCUGGAGAGCAGAGCGGAGCAGUGCCCGCCUGUAACACACAUUUGGGUGCAUGGAGCUGGAGAGGCUGGUGUGUAACAGCGGUGAGGGAUGCCUUGGGAACUGAGGUGGCUGGAACGUCUUGGUUUUUCCCCCUAGGUAUGACGAUGUAAGCUAGGGGUGUCAUACAUGCAAAGCACCCGUAUUUCUUGCCUGAGCCGCUGCAGUACAACUCCAGGUAAUAACAGCUUGGUUUAAAAAUGCUCCUAAUAAAGAGAGGCAGAGCUUUUCCUGUGUUUAA